UAAACAAUUUGACACCCUCAUGACAGUCGCCGCAAUACAUUUAUAUCGUUUUACCGUCAUAAAAGUACAAUUUCUGCUGAUGACAGCUGAAUGACAGACACAUAAUGUCACUUAACAGCACAUAUUUCAUCCCAGCCACAAAAACAACCGGCACGCGCUGUGAUAAAGUGAAUUGACUGUCACGCGACUCACCUAAUAUGGGAUGUUUGGACCGUUACUCCACAACAUAAGCAUGUGGACAGACAUUGACUGUAAUGAUGGACAUCUUCUGAUGCACAGGUCCACCUCUCCUCCAUUUCCACCUCUUAGUUCAGCCUUAAUCUCCAGCUCUGUUACCGCCCCAGAUAUGUUGGCUACUCAGCCCAUGCUUCUCAUCUGUUUUAUCGCCCCAGGCUUCAUCAAUACUCAACUCAGCUUGAUCAACUCAUUCUUUUCUAUAGUCUCACAUCAGGACCACAGACAGACACCCAGAACUUUGUGUUUGCCAUGAGAUUUUACAGAUCUUUGCAUGUACAACUUCAAGACCCAUCCAGAGUUCCUCAUCAAUGACACUGACACAGAAGAUCCUCUUCUUUUCCCAUAAAUGAAGGCACAAAUGCUUUAUGACAGGAACUCCUGGUUAUCACUUACAUAACAUGGCACAAAACCGCCCCUCAUAUUUGAUGUUAUGAAAAAUCCAC
ensembl:lncRNA